rnacentral:rRNA from 1 species
GGUCAAAUGACAAUAGGCUUAUGGUGGAUACCUAGGCACCCAAAGUUGAUGAAGGGCGCGGAAACCGGCGAAACGCUUCGGGGAGUUGGAAACACGCUUUGAUCCGAAGAUACCCGAAUGGGGCAACCCUUUAAACUACCGACUGAAUUCAUAGGUCGGCAAGAAGUAACCCGCUGAACUGAAACAUCUUAGUAAGCGGAGGAAAAGAAAGCAAACGCGAUUCCCUUAGUAGCGGCGAGCGAAGUGGGAACAGCCUAAACCGAUGAUUUCAUCGGGGUUGUGGGAAGAUGAUCUUAACAAUUCUAAAACAAAUAAACGAAGCAGCUGAAUCCUGCACCAUAGAUGGUGAAAGUCCAGUAGUUAAAAUAGUUCAAGGAUUGGAUUUUCUUAUCCCGAGUAGCAUGGGGCACGUGGAACCCCGUGUGAAUCAGCGAGGACCACCUCGUAAGGCUAAAUACUCUUGGGUGACCGAUAGUGAAAUAGUACCGUGAGGGAAAGGUGAAAUAGAACCCCAGUAGGGGAGUGCAAUAGAACAUGAAACCAUAAGCUCACAAUCUGUGGGAGCCAGACUUAGUCUGGUGACCGCGUUCCUGUUGAAGAAUGAGCUGGCGACUUAUAGGGAGUGGCUUGGUUAAGGAGUUUAUCCGGAGCCUAAGCGAAAGCAAGUCUGAAUAGGGCGUUUGUCACUUCUUAUGGACCCGAACCCGGGUGAUCUAACCAUGACCAGGAUGAAGCUUGGGUAAAACCAAGUGGAAGACCGAACCGACCGAUGUUGAAAAAUCGGCGGAUGAGUUGUGGUUAGGGGAGAAAUUCUAAUCGAACUCGGAGCUAGCUGGUUCUCUUCGAAAUGUGUUGAGGCGCAGCGGUUGGCGACGGGCUGUCUAGGGGUAAAGCACUGUUUCGGUGCGGGCUGGGAAACUGGUACCAAAUCGUAGCAAACUCAGAAUACUAGGCAUGCUUUCCGUCAACCAGUGAGACGGUGGGGGAUAAGCUUCAUCGUCGAGAGGGAAACAGCCCAGAUCAUCAGCUAAGGCCCCUAAAUGGCAGCUAAGUGGCAAAGGAUGUGAGAAUGCAGAGACAACCAGAAGGUUUGCUUAGAAGCAGCCAUCCUUAAAAGAGUGCGUAAUAGCUCACUGGUAGAGCGUUCUUGCGCCGAAAAUGAACGGGACUAAGCUGCCUGCCGAAGCUGUGGGAUUGCUUUUUUUAUAAAGGAAUCGGUAGAAGAGCGUUCCGCUCUAGGGUGAAGUAUCAACGUAAGUUGGUGUGGACGAAGCGGAAGUGAGAAUGUCAGCUUGAGUAGCGCAAACAUUGGUGAGAAUCCAAUGCCCCGAAAACCUAAGGGUUCCUCCACAAGGCUCGUCCAUGGAGGGUGAGUCAGGACCUAAGGCGAGGCCGAAAGGCGUAGUCGAUGGCAAACAGGUUAAUAUUCCUGUACUGAUUCUUAUUUGACACCGAGGGACGAAGGAGGCUAAAUUGUCUGGGUUUUGGGAUCCAGUGGAAGCGUCCGAGGCUAUGAGAGGUAGAAUAAAAACUAACCUUGAGCGUAGGCGUGAUCCGGUUUUGUGUGUCUGUAUUUAUAUAGACCAUAAGACUCAAUUGAUGUCACACUUCCAAGAAAAGCUCGUACUGUCUAUAAAUAAGAAUUACCUGUACCCUAAACCGACACAGGUGGGUAGGUAGAGUAUACUAAGGGGCGCGAGAUAACUCUCUCUAAGGAACUCGGCAAAAUGGCCCCGUAACUUCGGGAGAAGGGGUGCCGUGCUUGCACGGUUGCAGUGACCAGGCCCAAGCGACUGUUUAUCAAAAACACAGGUCUCCGCUAAGUCGAAAGACGAUAUAUGGGGGCUGACGCCUGCCCAGUGCCGGAAGGUGAAGGAAGUUGGUUAUUACUUGUAAGAAGCUAACGACCGAAGCCCCGGUGAACGGCGGCCGUAACUCUGACGGUCCUAAGGUUAAUCAACGAUACCGCUCGUUUGAAUUACAAACAUCGCUAGCCUUAGUAAAACCAAACUAAAUGCUGGAAACCCCCCAAAAACUUACCAGUACUCGUGAUUCAAAACACAAACGUAGUAGAUAGUAAUAGCCUUUGAGAGGCUAAGCCAAAAGUGCAACGUUUUGAUCGCAGUAAAAAUCUGGAAGACACGAGGGCAAUCAGCAGGAAAGACUUAAUAAUUAUUUAAUUAAUAAGAAUCCUCAGAGACUAUACGUUUGGAGAUUAAAAUGACAACAAAUUUAGAACCACAAUGGAUUCUCGGCUUCACAGAUGGUGAAGGAUGUUUUAACGUAUCGAUUGUACGUCAGAAAUCUAUGGCAAUGGGUUUCCAAGUCCUUGCAGAUUACACUGUAGUACAGCACGAACGAGAUAUUCAGAUUUUACAUGCAUUAAAGGACUAUUUUGGUGUGGGUCAGGUGGGUCGAAACAAUGAUACUCGACAACACUAUCGAGUACGGGGGUUGCAGCCUUUAACAGAGGCGAUCAUCCCUUUUUUCGAAAAGCACCAGCUCAAAACAAAAAAACGAAUUGACUUUAUCAAGUUUCGUCGUAUUCAAUUAAUGGUGCAACGAGGUCAGCACUUAACUCCUCAGGGGUUAUUGUUGAUUGAUAAAAUCCGUCAAAAAAUAAAUCGUGGUCCUAAGACAUAUUUAAAGUUGGAAGAAGAUGGUACUGUAGAAAUGUACGAUCAUGCAACCAACGAAAUCCAUGUCGCACGUAAAAGAAAGUAACAAAUCAAAUUAAUCUAAGAUAGAGUCCAGCUUUUAAUGAAAAUUAAGAGGUAUACUGAGCGAAAUUCAUUGUCAAGUAAGUUUUGACCUGCACGAAAGGCGUAACGAUUUGGGCACUGUCUCGGAGAGAGACUCGGCGAAAUAGACAUAUCUGUGAAGAUGCGGAUUACCUGCACCCGGACAGAAAGACCCUAUGAAGCUUGACUGUAGUUUGAGAUUGGAUUCGGGCUUUUCUUGCGCAGCAUAGGUGGGAGGCUAUGAGAGCAACCUUCCGGGGUUGUUGGAGCCAUCAUUGAGAUACCACUCUAGGAGAGCUAGAAUUCUAAUGGCGUUCCUUGAAUCAGGACGCUUGACAGUUUCAGAUGGGCAGUUUCACUGGGGCGGUGGCCUCAUAAAAGGUAACUGAGGCGUGCAAAGGUUCUCUCAAACUGGACGGAAAUCAGUUGUAGAGCGUAAAGGCAGAAGAGAGCUUGACUGCAAGACCUACAAGUCGAGCAGGGGCGAAAGCCGGCCUUAGUGAUCCGACGGUACCGUGUGGAAGGGCCGUCGCUCAACGGAUAAAAGUUACUCUAGGGAUAACAGGCUGAUCUUCCCCGAGAGUUCGCAUUGACGGGAAGGUUUGGCACCUCAACAUCGGGGCUUAAAAGUAGUAAUGCUUUUAGUAUGCACUUGGCUAUAUGCUGGAAUACCCGUUCUGGAUUGACAGAUUAGAGCUUAUGUGGUUUUAGAAAACUCAGCCAAGAGUUAAUAGCAGUUGCUAUCUAAAAUUGAGACAUGUAAGUGCGGGCAAUCAGCAGGGAAGUCCACUGGUUUAAGCAUGGCGUAUAAAAAGCUUAGAUUAUGACCCCUCAACGACCACACGCCGAGCAUCCUAAGCUUAGGAUGAUGAUAUGGUCUAAUCUUGCAGGCAAMUGUAAGCUAAUUAAANNNNNNNGGCGCGCASSSUGGUCUCUACCACCUUUUGACUCUAUCUUUUUUUUUAGGAUACCUAUAAAAAUGACACAAACACCGAUCGACUUUGUAGAGUAUGAUCCGAUUCGUCGAAGCUUGCAACCAGCGCAAUCGCGUCAAUAUUGCAAAAGCUUACCGCCUUUAACACCAGUGCAAAAANNNNNNNNNNNNNNNNNNNNNNNNNNNNNNNNNNNNNNNNNNNNNNNNNNNNNNNNNNNNNNNNNNNNNNNNNNNNNNNNNNNNNNNNNNNNNNNNNNNNAAAUACGAUGUCGGUUCGUCGCAACCUAGGGCGGUAGUUCGUCCUAAGGGUUAGGCUGUUCGCCUAUUAAAGCGGUACGUGGCUGGGUUCAGAACGUAGACAACACUGCGUUGAUUGGUAGUAAUAUCAAUCUAGUANNNGCUUAUAUCGGUGGAGCCUUCAUCAACCAUUCGAACUGGUUGAUAUGGUAAUACCGAGGGAAGACYUAUUAAACAUCACUAUGAAUUUAACAGAACAANNNNAAAUUUAUCUUGGCGGUUUCGUGGAUGGGGAUGGUUGUAUCAAUGCACAAAUUGUUCGACGAAAAGAUUAUCUCUUGAAAUUUCAAAUUCGAGUGACAGUCUCUUUUUAUCAAAAGACAAAACGUCAUUGGUUUAUUAAAUGGGUACAUAAGAAACUAAAGUACGGAUCCAUUCGGAAACGUAACGAUGGGAUGUCUGAGUACAACAUUGUAGGAAACCAUGCCGUUAAAAAAGUUGUAAAUGAGUUACAACCUUACAUUCGAAUUAAACAACCCCAAGUACGAUUAGUGUUGGAAAUCAUUGAAAAAUUGCCCGAAGCAAAAGACCCACUAACCUUUGUAGCGUUAUGUGAAAGAGUUGAUCUCUUUGAGCGGCUGAAUGAUUCAAAAAAACGUGUAAUCACUUCAGAAACCGUUCGUUCAGAAUUGGGAAUUGAUUAAAAUAAUGUCCCCGUAGAGACUGUUUUUAACUUACUAAACGUUAAGAACGAUAGAUUUUUUGGUUAAAAGAUUUAUAAAACGCCGACUCCUGUAGGUAAAGUUGUGAAGCAGUUAGCUCUUCCAAUUUCAUCCUCACAGGAUGAAGAUAUAGUCCAUACCUUUGGAAACAAAGGAAUAAUAUGCGUGAGACAGUUCGGUCCAUAUCCGGUGUAGGCGUUAGAGCAUUGAGAGGAUCUCAACAUAGUACGAGAGGACCCGAAGG